AGAAUCGAAGGAAUUGAAAAGCAAACGCAAUUGCUGCCAGCAGCCGCAGCAGAUGCCAAAAUAACGUAAUCAGCAUGUCAUCCUAUCGCAGUUAUGCGCCCUGGAAAUCGAACUUGGGCAGUUCUUCAUACAAGCCAAGCAGCUCAGCAUACACGCUGGGCUCGGAUUUGGGCGGUGGUGCCACGUCGCGCUACAGUUCGCUGGCCACGCCCAGCUCCUACAGACCGUCGUUCUCUGGCGGCACAUAUCGCAUCAAGCGUGAUCCUCCCGCCCCGACGCCCGUCACCAGCUACGUGAGUCGCUAUGCCAAGACGGAGCCCACCAAGCCAGAAGUCGCCAGCAGCGAUCGCAGCAGCCCCAUCAAACGGUACACGGGAGCCAGCACAAAGCUGAGCAAGUAUGGACGCUCGCGGGAUCCCAGUCCUGUGGCGCUGGAGCACACGAAUCGAGCGACGUCCAAGUCACGAGAUCCCAGCCCCCAGCUGGGCGGCGCUGGUUAUAGGAGCAGCGUCUCGAGGAAUGGCUACAGCAGUCGCUAUGCGCCGGGUGGAACGAGACUGAAUGGAGCGGGCAGCACGCUGGACAAGUCCAUCUCCUAUUUGACCACGAGUGACUUCCAUGCGAGGACCGCCAGUCGCAAGGCGAGCAGGGAGAAGGAGGUGGAGGAGCAGCAGCAGCAGCAGUCAAAGACGGAAGAGGGUAAGGAUGUAGCAGAAGAGCUGAGCACCAAAGAGGGGCAGCCGAAAGAGGCGGAGCAGGGGGAAAAGGAGCAGCAGGAGAAGGAAGAACCGGAAGAAACCUUCGUCUCUGUGCUGGUGGUGACCAGAGCCACCUCACCCACACCGCCGGGCAGCACCACCGUGCAGCGCACACGUCGCAUCGACAUAGCCAAGACCAUCGAGAAGACCAUUCAGCGAUCCACAAGGAAGCGCCAAAUGCUGGAGAAGGAGAUCCAGUCGGAUCGGCUGGACGACUCCACACGCUAUCUGCGCUACAGCGCCGGCGGCAGCAGCUCCAUCAGCUCCAACUACAGCACGCACAGGGAUCGCAUUAGCAGCCUGCGCUACAGCGCCAGUCCCCAAGCCAGCAGCUCCCCCAAGUCCAGCUCGCCCAGCGUGGAGAGCAAGAGCAACGGAGCCGUGAGCCUGGCCAGCAGCAAGUCCUCCAGCAAGUCCAAGCUGUCGCCGCCUAAGGCGGUUCGCUUGAACUCGCGGCAGUCCUCAGUGGAGAAUCUGGUGAACAAGCCGCCGGCGGCGCCCGCCAAGGCCGAGUCGCCCACCAAGAGCUGCAACGGCAGCAGCAGCUCGAGCAGCUCCUUGGCCAAGUGGCCCUGGCCCAACAAGGACUUCCGCAAGAGCUCCCUGAACGUGGGUCCCACGGACAGGCCCAGGCAGUCCAGGACGCCCAGUAGCGGCGGCGAGUCCGAGGAGCCGGUCCUGGAACGCUCACCCAGCACAGGCUCCGACUGUGGUGGCUCCAAGCCGGCCAAGCUGACCAAUGGCAAGACAGCGGCUCGACAGCUCAAGGCGCACAAGUCGUGCAACGGGAGCAAGGAGAGCAGUGAGAGCAGCGGGAGCAAGGAGAGCAGCCUAUGCAAUGGCAGCAAUAGAAGCAACAGAAGCAGGGAGAGCAAUGGCAGCAGUGAGAGUAAGGAGAGCAGCAAAUGCAAUGGCAAUGGAUACAGUGGCAGCAAGGAGAGCAGCGUCAGCUGUUCGACCACCUCCGCCUGCUCCUCCUCCGACAGCGAACAGCGCGCGAAGACAAGCAAGAAGCAGGGCAAGAAGAAGUCGCCAGCGAAUGGCAGCCAAAACAAAGUGAAAGAGAAGGCGAAGGCAAAGCCAACGCAGAGAGAGGAGCAGCCGACGCCAGAGAGCGAGAGCCAGAGCCAGAGCCAGAACCAGAGAGAGGCAGAGAGCGAGAGCGCCGAGUUGGCAUUGGGCAACCAAAAUAGCAACAAGUCGUCGCUUGACUCACCCAAUGAGGGGGCGGCGGGAGUCGGGGUGGCUGUGGGGGUGUCAGUGGUUGCAGAUCGGUCGCAGUCGCGUCUGCAGAAGCUGUCGAAGGUAUCGAAUUUUUUGGCCACUCGUCAGCACGACGCAAAUAGUGAGCCGAUCUUCCUCGAAAGCUCCGAGAGCGCUGGCAGCGAAGCGGAAUCCCAGCCAGCUUUGGCCAGUCUCUUGCUAGACACGCAAACGAACGAACCAGCGACAACGACAACGACAACGACAGCGACAACGACGACGCCAGCCACGUCGACGACGACAACGACGAAUCCGACAACAAGUCCCAAUCAAACGACCACGAGGCAGGAGAGCCUGACCAGCGAGGCGCAGCAAGAGGAUACGGAGGAGCCCAGCUGGUGGCAGGACACGAGCCUACAGAUCAAUACGGCGUCCGCAUUGGACAACAACAAUCGCAGCGAUAUGCCCUACAGGCUGAGGCACAUCGAUUCGGGCGAGGAUCACGCCUGGUGGCUGCGCCCCGAUGAGGAUGACACGCUGGCGGAGACCACGCUGAAUGCGCUGGAUGAUGAGCAGGAUGCGAGUGUGGCAACCAUCUCGCAGGGCGAAACGGGCUACAGAUGGAGCAGCAGCAAAGAGGAGCAUGAGCGAGAGCGGGAGGAGGAGCAGGAGGCGAGAGUGGAGGAGCUUGAGCAGGAGGAGCAAGUGAAGCGCAUGCCGCGCAGUCGCAUCUCACCCGAGCAGGAUGCCUGGUGGCUAGACGAGGAGCAGCAGCAGCCGGAGCAACCGGAGCAGCCGCAGGAGUCCACGUCGAAUGGCUACCACGAGGACUGCAACAAUGUGGAGGUGACCUUGAAGCUGCCCAGCAGCAGCGGCAACAGCAGGAGCAACAAGAGCAGCCAAUCAUCCGCAGCAAAGUCGCCUUCGUGGUGGCAAGCGGGCCCCGCCAAGAAGCUCUUCAAUGUGCAGCGCGUGGAGUCUGGGGAGCGCGCCUGGUGGCAGGAUCAGGAGCAGGUGGAGCCACAGCCGCAGCUGCAGCCGCCGCCAGUGAAACUGCCAACGCCACCGCCGACGCCACCGCCGCGCAUCAUCAAGCCGUGGGACUCGGGCGAGCGAGCCUGGUGGCUGGAGGAGGAGCAGCCAGAACAGCCGGAGCAACAACAGGCCACCAAUAGCGACCAGGUCGACGCACAGGUGCUUAGUCAGCCCUGUGAGAUGAGCACCUCCUUCGACUUUGCCUAUUCGGUGCGCCCGAAUCCGUUGGGCCAGUGCGCCAGUCCGCUGCCGGCAGAGCAAAUCGAGCAGAUUGAUCAGCGAAAGCUUUGCGCGUCACCUUACGAUAACAUUCCAAUGUCAAAAGUUCAAAUGGCAGCGCCGCCGUUGCAUGUGCAGUCGGCGUCGCAGUCGACGCCAAUGCCACCAACACCGCCGCCGCGUUACUCUUAUACGCCACCCACGUGCCGUGUGGGCGAUAAGCUUUUCAUUUCGCGUCAUCAAAACAUUGACGAGCUUUUGGGUGGCGCAUGCCGGCCGCUCAGUCCGCUCUUCUACAGCGGCGGCGGCGCAACUGAGAGCGAAGCGGCAGCGCUGCCGCUGGCAAGCAAAAAUAUGUUUCUGCUGGAAGAGAUAACGCCGGAUCAAGUGCGCAUUCACGACAGCACCGCACAGUUGCCGGUUAUACAGCGCAUGCAGCGCGAUGUGGAAUGGCUAGGGAACGGCAGCAGCAGCAGCAACUUUUACGAGCAGCAGAAGCAGCAACCGCAGCAGCGCCGGAUUGAUGACGCAGCUAUUCAGGUGUACAAGGAUGGCGACUUUGGCGCUUAUCUGGAUCUGGAAUCAUCGCUGGCUGAGCAGAGCGAGGAAAUUGAGGGGCUACAAGCCAGUCGCAAAAAUUCUUUGGUUAUUCGCACACAGCUGAGCGUUCGUGUUCAUGCGAUUAUAGAAAAACUUCUAUCAUCGGAGGGCAGCGAUCUGCGACGUGCUCUGUUCUCACUCAAGCAGGUGUUCCAGGAGGAUAAGGAUCUGGUGCAUGCCUUUGUCGCACUGGGCGGCCUCAAUUGCCUCGUGCGCGUCGGCAAUUGCGCCGAUCAAAACUAUCAGAACUAUAUACUGCGUGCCCUAGGCCAGGUCAUGCUCUAUGUGGAUGGCAUGAAUGGCGUUAUGAAGCAUCAGCCCACCAUGGAGUGGCUCUACUCAUUGAUCGCCUCCAAUUACCGUUCAGUGGUUAAGACGGCGCUGAAGCUGUUGCUCGUGUUUGUGGAAUAUGCCGAGACCAAUUGCUAUGUGUUAGUGAGCGCCAUUCAUGCUGUGGACGCCGCUCAAGGCACUUUGCCCUGGGCCAAUAUAAUGAGACUGCUUAAGGACUAUGAUAAUGCGGAUGCAGAGCUAGUGAUCUAUGCCACAUCGUUGAUAAAUAAGACACUGGCCGGUCUGACGGAUCAGGACAGUUUCUAUGAUGAGAGUGAUCUGCUGGAGCAGCAGGGCAUGGAGACGGUCAUACAGCGCUACAUGUCCAAGCCAGGCACAGAUCUCGAUCUGCUGGAUCAACUGCAGCUGUACGAGGCGGUGUUGAAAUUCGAGGAUGGUGAGUCGGAUGGCCAGCGCCUGCCGCAGAACUCAAUGCGCAAGACUCAGCGCUAUCGUCCCGGCGCCGGCACCACGGAGCGACGCAAAUCGCGUCGCCACAGCACAGACAACAGUCCGGCGCCCUUGACCAAGGUGCUGCCCACGCAGGUGCUGCGCAUGACACCCACACAGGCGACAGUCGACGAGGACGAUAGCUCUGGCUCAACGAAUUCCACAGAGUUCAGCAACGGCAUAUUCCAGGAGAAGAAACCACGUGAUGGCGCUGGGGUCACACCAGGUCUGCGUCGCCGACGUGAACGCGCCGAGCGGCACAAGAGCUUCCUCAAGGAGCAGGAGGAGGCGGCAGCCAAUGGCAUCUUUGCGGCCCGGGAGCUGCGUGAAAGCUAUGGCCAAAUCGUAACCGCCAUUCCUGCAACCAUACAAAGCGGCGACAGUCCGCCGCAAUCGCUGCAAUCUGAGCUGCCAGUGGCUCCACAGACGCCCACGCCCUGCAACAACAACAGCAACAACAGCAGCAGCAACCACAUUAACAACAACAGCAACAACAACAACAUCAACAACAAUAGCAAUAGCAAUUGCCAUCACACCCACAACAUCCACAUUGACACGCCCAACAACAGCUUGCUGCUGAGUCCGACGAAGCAGCUGCUAAGUGGCAGCCAGAGCAUCUCGAUCAUCAACAACAGCUUCGACAAGGCCAACAACAAUAUGAACAACCAGAAUGAGUUCCUUACCAAAAAGAAUCUCUUUCGGGAGCGCAACGCAACUGUGAUCAACGGCAUCAUGAAGAACAUACAGCAGACGGACAGUGCCUACAAAAAGUAUGAGAACGAUGCCAAUCGACUGAACAACUAUUACACACAGCUCAGCCAAUCGCCCAAGCAUCUGGCCCACCACCCAGUCCAGGAGAAGUCACUGAAUGGCAAUGGCUUCGAGUUUGUGCCCGAUAGCUCAACGCCGCUGAAGGCGGAUGCUUUGCCUCCGCCCGAACCGCUGAGUCCCAUACACAAGCCAGCGGCUGGGGCGCCACCACCACCACCGCCGCCGCCUCCACCACCACCGCCACCACCUGGCUGGUGGCACAUACCCAUAGCCACCAAUGCAAAUGCAGCUAGAACCCUAACCAGUACUAACCAAGAGCCUCCAACAGCCAUGGAAGCAACAGAUCUGGAGGACAAGGAAAUGCUAAUGCAGCUGAAACGUGAUCACACCGUCAAAGAUCUGACACAGAAACUAUGCAAUCUGCCCACCAGCCCCACACAGGAGCCAGGCAGCCGCGCCAUUGUGGGCGACAUGUCUGGCCUGAUUUCGAAAGCCAAAGAGGGGCUUGCCAAGAGCAAGAGCAAAGGUGAAAUUUCACGCUCAUCGAGCGUCGACCAGGAGCUGAAGAAGGCUGAGCCGAAGAAGUCGGAGAAUGAGCUGCACUGGGAGGAGCUGGUGCGCAAUAUGACGCGACCCUUGAACCUAUGCGAUCUGGACUUUACCGAUCUACACUCGGAUGAUGAGAAGGAUGUGCUGGCACCGCGUGGCCUUGGCGCUGGCAUACCGCCACCACCGCCGCCCCUGGGCGGAGGCAUGGUGAUGCCGCCGCCCUGCCUGAUGCCGCCGCCCAUGUUCAGCUAUGCGGGCUACGGGGCGAGCAGCCUGACGAACAGCGUGAAUAGCUCCCUCAAUGGCUCGAUCAACGGCGAGCUGGCCAAUGGCAACAAUACCAUCAAGAAGAACAAGAAGACGGUCAAGCUCUUCUGGAAGGAAGUGCGCGAGGACAUGAUUCCACAGGUGAUAGGCAAAACGAUCUGGGACGAGCUGCCCAGCGCGAAUGUGGACACACAGAAGCUGGAGCACUUGUUCGAGUCGCGCGCCAAAGACCUGAUGACCAAGAAGCAACAGGAGCUGAACAAGAGCAAGGAGAUCAUCGUGCUGGACCACAAGCGCUCGAAUGCCAUCAACAUUGCGAUGACCAAGCUGCCGCCGCCGCGCGCCAUCAAGGCGGCCAUUCUGAAGAUGGAUGCCACUGUGGUGACGCGCGAGGGCAUCGACAAGCUGCUGAACAUGCUGCCGACGGACGAGGAGCGCGGCAAGAUCCAGGAGGCGCAGCUGUCCAAUCCGGAACUGCCCCUGGGCAGCGCCGAGCAGUUCCUGCUCACGCUGGCCUCCAUCACAGAGCUGGGCGCACGCCUGAAGCUCUGGGCCUUCCGCCUGGACUUUGACAACUGCGAGAAAGAGAUUGCCGAGCCGCUGAUGGAUCUGAAGCAGGGCAUUGAGAUACUGCGCCACAAUCGCACCUUUCGCAGCAUCCUCGCCACGCUGCUCUCCGUGGGCAUCUUCCUGAACGGGGCGCCGGUGAAGGGCUUUCAGAUCGAGUACCUGGCCAAGGUGCCGGAGGUGAAGGACACCGUGCACAAGCACUCGCUGCUGCACCAUCUCUGCCACAUGGUCAUGGAGUCGAAUAGCGACACAACCGAUUUGUAUUCCGAAAUCGGGCCCAUCACGCGCGCCUCCAAGGCCGACUUCGCCGAUCUGGCCCACAAUCUCACCCAGCUGGAGUCGGAGUGCAAGGCGUCGUGGGACCGCCUCAAGCUGAUUGCCAAGCACGACUGUGCGCCGCCCCUGAAGCAGAAGCUGGUGGACUUCCUGGCCGACUGCGCCGAGCGCAUCAUCAGCCUGCAGACGGUGCAUCGGCGCGUGAUGAAUCGCUACCGCAAGUUCCUGCUCUGGCUGGGCAUGCCGCAGCACAGCGUGGCCGAGUCGCGGCCCAACGAGUUCUGUCGCACGCUCUCCGAGUUCGCGCUGGAGUACCGGACGACGCGCGAGCGUGUGCAGCAGCAGCUGGAGAAGAAGGCCAAUCACCGGGAGCGCAACAAGACGCGCGGCAAGCUGAUCAUUGACAUGGUCAAGUUCAAGACCAAAGAGGAUGUGGCUGAUGCCGAGCUGAAGCAACUGCUGGGCACUCCCAGUCCCGAUCAGACGGAUGGCACGCUCACCUGGCGUCGGCGCCGCGCCGAGCAGCUGCGCUCGCCCAUCGCCCGGCAGAGCGAGGAGCAGUUCACCGACGGCGACGACGAAAUACUCGAGUCCCUGGUCAAGACGGCGACCAAGGCGUCCGGCACACGGACCACGCCGCGUGAACGCAAGCGCACCCGCCAUGCGGAUCGCAAGUCCUUGAAGCGCAGCCGCACGCGCGAGGGAUUCACAGUUGAAAGAGCACCGUCGCCCUAGAGCCGUUUGCGCAACUGUUGCGCAAACAAUCCAAACAGUUUUAGGUUUUUACCUUUCUUUUGUUGUGCGUCGCACGCUGAAGAACGGCCUCACCGAGGAGGAGAAACAGCACGUGGCUGCCUUGAUACAAACCUAUUAGAG